rnacentral:rRNA from 1 species
CGGGGGGAGGAGAAGCUCUCUUCUUUGUUU